rnacentral:rRNA from 1 species
AUUGAACGCUGGCGGCAGGCCUAACACAUGCAAGUCGAACGGUAGCACAGAGAGCUUGGUCUCGGGUGACGAGUGGCGGACGGGUGAGUAACGUCUGGGAAACUGCCCGAUGGAGGGGGAUAACUACUGGAAACGGUAGCUAAUACCGCAUAACGUCGCAAGACCAAAGUGGGGGACCUUCGGGCCUCACACCAUCGGAUGUGCCCAGAUGGGAUUAGCUAGUAGGUGGGGGAAUGGCUCACCUAGGCGACGAUCCCUAGCUGGUCUGAGAGGAUGACCAGCCACACUGGAACUGGGACACGGUCCAGACUCCUACGGGAGGCAGCAGUGGGGAAUAUUGCACAAUGGGCGCAAGCCUGAUGCAGCCAAGCCGCGUGUAUGAAGAAGGCCUUCGGGUUGUAAAGUACUUUCAGCGGGGAGGAAGGCGGUGAAGUUAAUAGCUUCACCGAUUGACGUUACCCGCAGAAGAAGCACCGGCUAACUCCGUGCCAGCCGCCGCGGUAA